rnacentral:rRNA from 1 species
GAUGAACGCUGGCGGCGUGCCUAAUACAUGCAAGUCGAGCGAACGGACGAGAAGCUUGCUUCUCUGAUGUUAGCGGCGGACGGGUGAGUAACACGUGGAUAACCUACCUAUAAGACUGGGAUAACUUCGGGAAACCGGAGCUAAUACCGGAUAAUAUUUUGAACCGCAUGGUUCAAAAGUGAAAGACGGUCUUGCUGUCACUUAUAGAUGGAUCCGCGCUGCAUUAGCUAGUUGGUAAGGUAACGGCUUACCAAGGCAACGAUGCAUAGCCGACCUGAGAGGGUGAUCGGCCACACUGGAACUGAGACACGGUCCAGACUCCUACGGGAGGCAGCAGUAGGGAAUCUUCCGCAAUGGGCGAAAGCCUGACGGAGCAACGCCGCGUGAGUGAUGAAGGUCUUCGGAUCGUAAAACUCUGUUAUUAGGGAAGAACAUAUGUGUAAGUAACUGUGCACAUCUUGACGGUACCUAAUCAGAAAGCCACGGCUAACUACGUGCCAGCAGCCGCGGUAAUACGUAGGUGGCAAGCGUUAUCCGGAAUUAUUGGGCGUAAAGCGCGCGUAGGCGGUUUUUUAAGUCUGAUGUGAAAGCCCACGGCUCAACCGUGGAGGGUCAUUGGAAACUGGAAAACUUGGGUGCAGAAGAGGAAAGUGGAAUUCCAUGUGUAGCGGUGAAAUGCGCAGAGAUAUGGAGGAACACCAGUGGCGAAGGCGACUUUCUGGUCUGUAACUGACGCUGAUGUGCGAAAGCGUGGGGAUCAAACAGGAUUAGAUACCCUGGUAGUCCACGCCGUAAACGAUGAGUGCUAAGUGUUAGGGGGUUUCCGCCCCUUAGUGCUGCAGCUAACGCAUUAAGCACUCCGCCUGGGGAGUACGACCGCAAGGUUGAAACUCAAAGGAAUUGACGGGGACCCGCACAAGCGGUGGAGCAUGUGGUUUAAUUCGAAGCAACGCGAAGAACCUUACCAAAUCUUGACAUCCUUUGACAACUCUAGAGAUAGAGCCUUCCCCUUCGGGGGACAAAGUGACAGGUGGUGCAUGGUUGUCGUCAGCUCGUGUCGUGAGAUGUUGGGUUAAGUCCCGCAACGAGCGCAACCCUUAAGCUUAGUUGCCAUCAUUAAGUUGGGCACUCUAAGUUGACUGCCGGUGACAAACCGGAGGAAGGUGGGGAUGACGUCAAAUCAUCAUGCCCCUUAUGAUUUGGGCUACACACGUGCUACAAUGGACAAUACAAAGGGCAGCGAAACCGCGAGGUCAAGCAAAUCCCAUAAAGUUGUUCUCAGUUCGGAUUGUAGUCUGCAACUCGACUACAUGAAGCUGGAAUCGCUAGUAAUCGUAGAUCAGCAUGCUACGGUGAAUACGUUCCCGGGUCU